GCCCGCCUAGCUCAAUCGGAUAGAGCGUCAGACUCUUAAGGAGUUGGUGUGGUCCUUUCUAUUAGAUAUCUGAAGGCUGCGAGUUCGACCCUCGCGGUGGGCU